AACGAACGCUGGCGGCAUGCCUAACACAUGCAAGUCGAACGAAGUCUUCGGACUUAGUGGCGCACGGGUGCGUAACGCGUGGGAAUCUGCCCUUGGGUGCGGAAUAACUUCUCGAAAGGGAUGCUAAUACCGCAUAAUGUCGUAAGACCAAAGAUUUAUCGCCCAAGGAUGAGCCCGCGUAAGAUUAGCUAGUUGGUGGGGUAAAAGCCUACCAAGGCGACGAUCUUUAGCUGGUCUGAGAGGAUGAUCAGCCACACUGGGACUGAGACACGGCCCAGACUCCUACGGGAGGCAGCAGUGGGGAAUAUUGGACAAUGGGCGAAAGCCUGAUCCAGCAAUGCCGCGUGAGUGAUGAAGGCCUUAGGGUUGUAAAGGCUCUUUUACCCGGGAUGAUAAUGACAGUACCGGGAGAAUAAGCUCCGGCUAACUCCGUGCCAGCAGCCGCGGUAAUCUGAGUCGGAG
rnacentral:rRNA from 1 species